rnacentral:lncRNA from 1 species
UUGGAUUGAAAUCAAAUCUUGAGCUACAAAAUUGCACACCAACAACAACUUUAGGGUUCUUUUGGAGAUUGAAGAAUAGAAUUUAAGAAAAAAUUUUAUAAAGUUUUUAUGAGCAUUGGUUUUGUAUGAUUUGAAUUUGUAAUGACUUUGUAAGAGCUUUACAAAGUCAAGAUUGUUUUGGAUGACUCAGGUUUUUAUAAAAUAAAAUAAGGUUCACAUUUUGGGCAAUUUCAAGAGUUUUGUAGUAGAUCUAUAGGUGAAAUUUUGUUUCUUAAUGGUUACAGUUGUGUUUAAUAUGUGCUAUAAAUUUUAGCUUGAUCUAAAAAUUGAAUUGAGGAUUAUUGAAGUUUAAGUGGGUCGAGAUCUUGGAAAGUAGAAAUUUAGGUCUAGUAAAGAUUUUAAAGAUUUCUUGCAAUCUAUCAAUUAGAUUGGAGUAUAAAUUAUGUAUAUAAAUAGUAGACUUGUUUUUCUAUAAAUAUAAGAAUUUUAAGAUCAAUUAAAUGAUAUAAAAGAGAGAUGUUAACACUAGAAGAUUAGCAUGAAGGAUGAAAAAGGAGGCCGACCAACAUCUAAGCAAAUUUUAGGAUUUUUCUUUCAUAUGGUAAGUGUAAUUUUCUUCAAAUUCAUUAUACUUCUUUGUAACUAAGAGAUUAAGAGGUGUGUAAAAUUUUAAAUAAGAUCAAUGGUUUAAUCAAAAGAUAUCAAGGUUCUAAACUACCUUAGGAUUUGGUUUAGGAUUUAGGAUUUGGGUAGGAUUUGGUUAGGAUUUAGUUUAGAGUUUGAUUAGGGUUUGAUUUAGGAUUUAGGAUUUUUUUAGGAUUUGGUUUAGAAUUUAGGAUUUGGCUAGGAUUUGGUUAGAAUUUGGGAUUUUUUUAGGAUUUGGUUAGGAUUUGAUUUAGAAUUUAGAAUUUGUCUGAGAUUUAGUUUAAGAUUUAGGAUUUGAUUAAGAUUAGAUUUAGAGUUUAAAAUUUAUCUAAGAUUUGAUUUAGGAUUUAGAAUUUGUCUAGGAUUUGAUUGAAGUCUAUUAAGAUUUCAAUUAAGUUUAAAUUAGAACUUAAUU